GGUUCCAUGGUGGAAUGGUUUUUUUUCGCACUCUGGACUUUGAAUCCAGCGAUCCGAGUUCAAAUUUCGGUGGAACCU